rnacentral:rRNA from 1 species
GUCAGCAGCCGCGGUAACACCGGCGGCCCGAGUGGUGAUCGUGAUUAUUAGGGGUCUAAAGGGUCCCGUAGACCGGUUUGGUCAGUCCUCCGGGAAAUCUGAUAGCUCAACUAUAGGUUUCGGGGGAUACUGCCAGACUUGGAACCGGGAGAGGUAAGAGGUACUACAGGGGUAGGAGUGAAAGUCUUGGUAAUCCCUGUGGGACCACCUGUGGCGAAGGCGUCUUACCAGAACGGGUUCGACGGUGAGGGACGAAAGCUGGGGGCACGAACCGGGAUUAGAUACCCGGGUAGUCCCAGCCGUAAACGAUGCUCGCUAGGUGUCAGGCAUGGCGCGACCGUGUCUGGUGCCGCAGGGAAGCCGUGAAGCGAGCCACCUGGGAAGUACGGCCGCAAGGCUGAAACUUAAAGGAAUUGGCGGGGGAGCACAACAACGGGUUGGAGCCUGCGGUUUAAUUGGACUCAACGCCGGACAACUCACCGGGGGCGACAGCAAUAUGUAGGCCAAGCUGAAGACUUUGCCUGAAUCGCUGAGGGGAGGUGCAUGG